rnacentral:rRNA from 1 species
UACGUAGGGUGCGAGCGUUGUUCGGAAUUACUGGGCGUAAAGGGCUCGUAGGCGGCCAACUAAGUCAGACGUGAAAUCCCUCGGCUUAACCGGGGAACUGCAUCUGAUACUGGAUGGCUUGAGUUCGGGAGAGGGAUGUGGAAUUCCAGGUGUAGCGGUGAAAUGCGUAGAUAUCUGGAGGAACACCGGUGGCGAAGGCGGCAUCCUGGACCGACACUGACGCUGAGGAGCGAAAGCCAGGGGAGCAAACGGG